UACAUGCUAAAAACCUCGACUUCGGAAGGGGUGUAUUUAUUAGAUAAAAAACCAAUGCCCUUCGGGGCUCCUUGGUGAUUCAUAAUAACUUAACGAAUCGCAUGGCCUUGUGCCGGCGAUGGUUCAUUCAAAUUUCUGCCCUAUCAACUUUCGAUGGUAGGAUAGUGGCCUACCAUGGUUUCAACGGGUAACGGGGAAUUAGGGUUCUAUUCCGGAGAGGGAGCCUGAGAAACGGCUGCCACAUCCAAGGAAGGCAGCAGGCGCGCAAAUUACCCAAUCCCGACACGGGGAGGUAGUGACAAUAAAUACUGAUACAGGGCUCUUUUGGGUCUUGUAAUUGGAAUGAGUACAAUUUAAAUCCCUUAACGAGGAACAAUUGGAGGGCAAGUCUGGUGCCAGCAGCCGCGGUAAUUCCAGCUCCAAUAGCGUAUAUUAAAGUUGUUGCAGUUAAAAAGCUCGUAGUUGAACCUUGAGCCUGGCUGGCCGGUCCGCCUCACCGCGUGCACUGGUCCGGCCGGGUUUUUCCUUCUGGGGAGCCGCAUGCCCUUCACUGGGUGUGUCGGGGAACCAGGACUUUUACUUUGAAAAAAUUAGAGUGUUCAAAGCAGGCCUAUGCUCGAAUACAUUAGCAUGGAAUAAUAGAAUAGGACGUGUGGUUCUAUUUUGUUGGUUUCUAGGACCGCCGUAAUGAUUAAUAGGGAUAGUCGGGGGCAUCAGUAUUCAAUUGUCAGAGGUGAAAUUCUUGGAUUUAUUGAAGACUAACUACUGCGAAAGCAUUUGCCAAGGAUGUUUUCAUUAAUCAGUGAACGAAAGUUAGGGAUCGAAGACGAUCAGAUACCGUCGUAGUCUUAACCAUAAACUAUGCCGACUAGGGAUCGGCGAUGUU
rnacentral:rRNA from 1 species